rnacentral:rRNA from 1 species
AUUAAAGUUGUUGCAGUUAAAAAGCUCGUAGUUGGAUUUCGGGGCUCCUUAUGUAAUAGUCAUGCGGUGGACACUUGCUUGUUGCUUUAGGGAGGUGUUUUUUGUGGGGCAACCCGAGGACACCACCCGGCGGCAGGGGAAAGGCCACUGCGGGCGGGGCCCAUUUAUAUUUCUCGAAGACGUCACGGGCCCUUAACUGGUGUACUGUGGUCGCGGAUUCGAGACGUUUACUUUGAAAAAAUUAGAGUGUUCAAAGCAGGCAAUCAAAAACGCUUGAAUACAUUAGCAUGGAAUAAUGGAAUAGGACUUUGGUCUUAUUUUGUUGGUUUCUAGGACUGAAGUAAUGAUUAAUAGGGACAGUUGGGGGCAUUCGUAUUUAAUUGUCAGAGGUGAAAUUCUUGGAUUUAUGAAAGACGAACUUCUGCGAAAGCAUUUGCCAAGGAUGUUUUCAUUAAUCAAGAACGAAAGUUAGGGGAUCGAAGACGAUUAGAUACCGUCGUAGUCCUAACCAUAAACUAUGCCGACUAGGGAUCAGUGGGGAACAAAUCAAAAAACUCCAUUGGCACCUUAUGAGAAAUCAAAGUUUGUGGGUUCUGGGGAAAGUACCAACGCAAGUUGGAAACUUAAAGGAAUUGACGGAAGGGCACACCAGGCGUGGAAUCUGCGGCUUAAUUUGACCCAACACGGGGGAACUCACCAGGCCCAGGCAAAAUAAGGAUUGACAGAUUGAGAGCUCUUUCUUGAUUUUUUGGGCAGUGGUGCAUGGCCGUUCUUAGUUGGUGGAGCGAUCUGUCUGGUUAAUUCCGAUAACGAACGAGACCUUAACCUGCUAAAUAGCGACGUCAUUCCUUGUGAAGGACGGAUUUUGACUUCUUAGAGGGACUAUCGGUGACUAACCGAUGGAAGUUUGAGGCGAUAACAGGUCUGUGAUGCCCUUAGAUGUUCUGGGCCGCACGCGCGUUACACUGACAGAGGCAGCGAGUUUUUUUAAAUAUCCUGGCCUGGAAAGGUUUGGGUAAUCUUGUGAAUCUCUGUCGUGAUGGGGAUAGAUCUUUGUAAUUAUCGAUCUUCAACGAGGAAUGCCUUGUAAUCGCGGUUCAUCAAAUCGCGUUGACUACGUCCCUGCCCUUUGUACACACCGCCCGUCGCUACUACCGACUGAAUGGUUUAGUGAGGUCUCGGGACUGGCGCGGCUUGGCUGUAAAAGGCCGAUCCAUGCUGGGAACUUGCCCAAACUUGAUCAUUUAGAGGAAGUAAAAGUC